rnacentral:misc_RNA from 1 species
GAUGAAGAACGUAGCGAAAUGCGAUAAGUAAUGCGAAUUGCAGAAUUCAGUGAAUCAUCGAAUCUUUGAACGCACAUUGCGCCCAUUAGUAUUCUAGUGGGCAUGCCUGUUCGAGCGUCAUUAAGUCCACUUAAGCCCUGCUUAGUGUUGGGAGACUGCUCCAGCGGUGCUACCCUGUAGCUACCCUGCAGCUCCUCAAAGACAGCGGCGGAGUUGUGGUAUCCUCUGAGCUUAGUAACUUGUUCUAGCUUUCGAGUACACCACUUCCCCUGCCGUAAAACCCUUAAUUUUUAAUGGUUGACCUCGGAUCAGGUAGGAAUACCCGCUGAACUUAAGCAUAUAAUAAGCGGAGGA